UGUCAUUGUUGUAUUUUUCUUCCAAUGCAGGAUGAAAGAGAGCUUGCCCCUUUUCUCAAAUUUCUCCUAUGAUUGAGAGAUACUGAAUAUGAAGUGUGGGGUGCCAGAAACUCACUACUGGUCAAGAUGAUUGUAUGAAGAAAACACUUCCGUCAAGUAAAGUCUGAGAGAAACCUGGGAAAAUGGCAGUGAUACACACCUAGCAGCAAAGAAGCCCAGUGCACUGCAGAGGGUCUGUUGAUGGAUUUGGGAGCCUCUGUCUGCUUCUCAUAUUUGUAACAACUGUAUACUGCUGCCUUGAAGCCAAAAGAUUCUAAGCACAACUGAGCCAAGAGGUCUGAGUACUUAACCUGGGGGAUGCCAAACUAUCAUUUUCCAAUUCUGCAGUAUCAACCAGAUUAAAAUUUGGUCUUAUAAGAACAUAAGAAUGUCCAUCUUGUCCAUC
rnacentral:lncRNA from 1 species